rnacentral:tRNA from 1 species
GCAAUUGUAGCUUAAGAAAUAGCAUUGGUCUUGUAAGCCGAAGAUUGGGAUAGUUAAACCCCUAUUGCU